UCGGGAAUCGGAGAUAGGGCCUCUGGGUCAACCUCCACCCGUGUUUAUUUUACCUUGUUGCUUCGGCGGGCCCGCCUUAACUGGCCGCCGGGGGGCUUACGCCCCCGGGCCCGCGCCCGCCGAAGACACCCUCGAACUCUGUCUGAAGAUUGUAGUCUGAGUGAAAAUAUAAAUUAUUUAAAACUUUCAACAACGGAUCUCUUGGUUCCGGCAUCGAUGAAGAACGCAGCGAAAUGCGAUACGUAAUGUGAAUUGCAAAUUCAGUGAAUCAUCGAGUCUUUGAACGCACAUUGCGCCCCCUGGUAUUCCGGGGGGCAUGCCUGUCCGAGCGUCAUUGCUGCCCUCAAGCACGGCUUGUGUGUUGGGCCCCGUCCUCCGAUCCCGGGGGACGGGCCCGAAAGGCAGCGGCGGCACCGCGUCCGGUCCUCGAGCGUAUGGGGCUUUGUCACCCGCUCUGUAGGCCCGGCCGGCGCUUGCCGAUCAACCCAAAUUUUUAUCCAGGUUGACCUCGGAUCAGGUAGGGAUACCCGCUGAACUUAAGCAUAUCAAUAAGCGGAGGU
rnacentral:rRNA from 1 species